rnacentral:rRNA from 1 species
UACGUAGGGCGCAAGCGUUGUCCGGAAUUAUUGGGCGUAAAGAGCUCGUAGGCGGCUUGUCACGUCGGCUGUGAAAGCCCGAGGCUUAACCUCGGGUCUGCAUUCGAUACGGGCUAGCUAGAGUGUGGUAGGGGAGAUCGGAAUUCCUGGUGUAGCGGUGAAAUGCGCAGAUAUCAGGAGGAGCACCGGUGGCGAAGGCGGAUCUCUGGGCCAUUACUGACGCUGAGGAGCGAAAGCGUGGGGAGCGAACAGG